UACGGAGGGUGCAAGCGUUGUCCGGAUUUAUUGGGUUUAAAGGGUGCGUAGGCGGCCUUGUAAGUCAGUGCUGAAAUAUCCCGGCUUAACCGGGAGGGUGGCAUUGAUACUGCAGGGCUUGAGUAAAGUUGAGGUUGGCGGAAUUGACGGUGUAGCGGUGAAAUGCUUAGAUAUCGUCAAGAACACCGAUAGUGAAGACAGCUAACUAAGCUUUAACUGACGCUGAGGCACGAAAGUGUGGGGAUCAAACAGG
rnacentral:rRNA from 1 species